rfam:Brassica oleracea var. oleracea cultivar TO1000 chromosome C3, whole genome shotgun sequence
UUAAUUGAUUGACAUAUGCACUGGGCUCUGAGAAGUUGAUUGACAUUUAACUUCUUUUUGAUGGAUAAUGCUGCCUAGAAAGCUUAAUCUGAUUU